UACAGAGGGUGCAAGCGUUAAUCGGAAUUACUGGGCGUAAAGCGCGCGUAGGUGGUUUGUUAAGUUGGAUGUGAAAUCCCCGGGCUCAACCUGGGAACUGCAUUCAAAACUGACUGACUAGAGUAUGGUAGAGGGUGGUGGAAUUUCCUGUGUAGCGGUGAAAUGCGUAGAUAUAGGAAGGAACACCAGUGGCGAAGGCGACCACUUGGACUAAUACUGACACUGAGGUGCGAAAGCGUGGGGAGCAAACAGG
rnacentral:rRNA from 1 species